rnacentral:rRNA from 1 species
AACGAACGCUGGCGGCAGGCUUAACACAUGCAAGUCGAGCGCCCCGCAAGGGGAGCGGCAGACGGGUGAGUAACGCGUGGGAACGUACCCUUUGCUACGGAAUAGCUCCGGGAAACUGGAAUUAAUACCGUAUGUGCCCUACGGGGGAAAGAUUUAUCGGCAAAGGAUCGGCCCGCGUUGGAUUAGCUAGUUGGUGGGGUAAUGGCCUACCAAGGCGACGAUCCAUAGCUGGUCCGAGAGGAUGAUCAGCCACAUUGGGACUGAGACACGGCCCAAACUCCUACGGGAGGGAGCAGUGGGGAAUAUUGGACAAUGGGCGCAAGCCUGAUCCAGCCAUGCCGCGUGAGUGAUGAAGGCCUUAGGGUUGUAAAGCUCUUUCACCGGAGAAGAUAAUGACGGUAUCCGGAGAAGAAGCCCCGGCUAACUUCGCGCCAGCCGCCGCCGUAAGAC